rnacentral:lncRNA from 1 species
NNNNNNNNNNNNNNNNNNNNNNNNNNNNNNNNNNNNNNGCGCCGUGCCGCGCCGUGCCGUGCCGCGCCGUGCCGUGCCGCGGCGGAGCGGCGGGCUUCACUGCCUGCAGAAUUUGCACUUGAUAAUUUUCUUAAAAGCACUUUGGAAGUCCUUGUUGAAGUAGGCAUAGAUGACGGGGUUGAGGAGGGAGUUGGAGUAGCCCAGCCAGUUGAUGACUGCCCCCAGCCACUCGGGCAUGUAGCACUUACUGUCACAAAAGGGCAGGACCAGCGCCACGAUGAAGAAGGGCAGCCAGCAGAGGAUGAAGGUGCCCAUAAUGAUGCCGAGGGUCUUGACAGUCUUCCGCUCCCGGGACAGAGCCGUCCGCCGCUUGGCCUCCGCGCCCCUCUCGUUGCGCCGCUCGGGGGCGGGCGCCGGCGGGGAGCCGCCCGCGGCGCUGGGCAGCGGCAGGUGAGGCUUGCAGGGGCCGGCGCAGUGCCGCACCUCCACGACGGCCAGCGCGGCCCCCUCCGCGCCCCGCCGCGCCGCGCCGUUGGCACAGGCGGCGGGCAGGGGCUCCGCAGUCCGGCGCCAGCCCCCGCCGGGCUCCCCGUUGCUCUUGGGCCGCAGCGCGGCCGGGGAGAGGGUGAGGCAGGUGUCGGCCGUCCUCUUCCUCUCGGCCUUCUUGACGGUCUUGCGGAUCCUGAAGCGGGCCGCCCUGAAGAUGCGGCCGUAGAGCACCAGCAUGAGGAGCAGCGGGAUGUAGAAGGCGCCGAAGGUGGAGUAGAUGGUGUACCCGUGGUCCUUGCUGAUGGUGCAGGCGUCGGGGUCCGAGCGGUCCUCGGGCGUCCUCCAGCCCAGCAUGGGCGGGAUGGAUAUCAAGAAGCCGAUGAGCCAGGUCAGGCUGAUGAGCACGGCGGCCCGCCGCGGAGUCCGCUUGUUGACAUAGUCGAUGGGGUCCGUGAUGGCCCAGUACCUGUCCAGGGCGAUGGCGCACAGGUGCAGGAUGGAGGAGGUGCAGCACAGCACGUCCAGGGAGAUGAAGAUGUCGCAGGUGACCUGCCCCAGCGUCCACUUGUUCAGCACCUGGUAGAGGGCCGCCAUGGGCAGCACCAGCACGGACACCAUGAGGUCGGUGACGGCCAGCGAGCCGAUGAGAUAGUUGGCCACGUUUUGCAGCGAGCGCUCCAGGGCGAUGGCCGCGAUCACGCAGGCGUUGCCGCUCACGGCGCACAGGAUGAGCGUGCCCAGCAGCAGCGAGGUGAGCAGCUGGUAGCCCAGGGUCACCUCGGCCAGGCCGGGGCCGCCGGCGCCCUCGGGGGAGCGCCCUGGGGAGGUAGUGCUGUUGGACACAUCCAUGCCGGGCGGGGGGGCCGCUCCGGGCGGCGGCAUGGGCAGAGGCGCCGGUCACUCGCGGGCUCCCCUGGCAGGAGGCAUCGCCGCCCCGUGCGCUCUGGCCGCGCCGGCCCCCCGCCGCC